GAUCCUGGCUCAGGAUGAACGCUAGCUACAGGCUUAACACAUGCAAGUCGAGGGGAAACGAUAUUGGAAGCUUGCUUCUGAUAGGCGUCGACCGGCGCACGGGUGAGUAACGCGUAUCCAACCUGCCCAUCACUUGGGGAUAACCUUGCGAAAGUAAGACUAAUACCCAAUGACGUCUCUAGAAGACAUCUGAAAGAGAUUAAAGAUUUAUCGGUGAUGGAUGGGGAUGCGUCUGAUUAGCUUGUUGGCGGGGUAACGGCCCACCAAGGCGACGAUCAGUAGGGGUUCUGAGAGGAAGGUCCCCCACAUUGGAACUGAGACACGGUCCAAACUCCUACGGGAGGCAGCAGUGAGGAAUAUUGGUCAAUGGACGAGAGUCUGAACCAGCCAAGUAGCGUGCAGGAAGACGGCCCUAUGGGUUGUAAACCGCUUUUAUAAGGGAAUAAAGUGAGUCUCGUGAGACUUUUUGCAUGUACCUUAUGAAUAAGGACCGGCUAAUUCCGUG
rnacentral:rRNA from 1 species